UGCAAGUCGAACGGCAGCGCGGGGCAACCUGGCGGCGAGUGGCGAACGGGUGAGUAAUAUAUCGGAACGUACCCAAGAGUGGGGGAUAACGUAGCGAAAGUUACGCUAAUACCGCAUACGAUCUAUGGAUGAAAGUGGGGGAUCGCAAGACCUCAUGCUCCUGGAGCGGCCGAUAUCUGAUUAGCUAGUUGGUGAGGUAAAGGCUCACCAAGGCGACGAUCAGUAGCUGGUCUGAGAGGACGACCAGCCACACUGGAACUGAGACACGGUCCAGACUCCUACGGGAGGCAGCAGUGGGGAAUUUUGGACAAUGGGCGCAAGCCUGAUCCAGCAAUGCCGCGUGAGUGAAGAAGGCCUUCGGGUUGUAAAGCUCUUUUGUCAGGGAAGAAACGGUUGAGGCUAAUAUCCUCGGCUAAUGACGGUACCUGAAGAAUAAGCACCGGCUAACUACGUGCCAGCAGCCGCGGUAAUACGUAGGGUGCAAGCGUUAAUCGGAAUUACUGGGCGUAAAGCGUGCGCAGGCGGUUUUGUAAGUCUGUCAUGAAAGCCCCGGGCUCAACCUGGGAAUUGCGAUGGAGACUGCAAGGCUUGAAUCUGGCAGAGGGGGGUAGAAUUCCACGUGUAGCAGUGAAAUGCGUAGAGAUGUGGAGGAACACCGAUGGCGAAGGCAGCCCCCUGGGUCAAGAUUGACGCUCAUGCACGAAAGCGUGGGGAGCAAACAGGAUUAGAUACCCUGGUAGUCCACGCCCUAAACGAUGUCUACUAGUUGUCGGGUCUUAAUUGACUUGGUAACGCAGCUAACGCGUGAAGUAGACCGCCUGGGGAGUACGGUCGCAAGAUUAAAACUCAAAGGAAUUGAC
rnacentral:rRNA from 1 species